rnacentral:lncRNA from 1 species
UGAUUUUCUACAUAUAAUUGAGAAAUUAGUAUUGUCGGUCCAAGUCUAAGAUAUCGGCUGCAUAAAUUUUAGGGUUUUAUAUAUCUAAAUAGUGCAUAUAUUUUUAUUAUGUAAAGGAAAUAUGUGGUCCUCUCCUUCCGCAUGCAUAAGCCUUGGUUUUCAUAUAAAAUUCAACAAAUAGCUUUGGUCCCCUACUUAGGAGAAAUAAAUGUAAAACAAUAUGCAAG